UACGUAGGGUGCGAGCGUUAAUCGGAAUUACUGGGCGUAAAGCGUGCGUAGGUGGUGCGUUAAGUCUGUCGUGACAGCCCCGGGCUCACCCUGGGAAUGGCGAUGGAUACUGGCGCGCUAGAGUGCGGUAGAGGAGAGUGGAAUUCCCGGUGUAGCAGUGAAAUGCGUAGAGAUCGGGAGGAACACCAGGUGCGAAGGCGGCUCUCUGGACCAGCACUGACACUGAGGCACGAAAGCGGGGGGAGCAAACAGG
rnacentral:rRNA from 1 species